GGUGAACGCUGGCGGUAGGCCUAACACAUGCAAGUCGAACGGCAGCACAGUAAGAGCUUGCUCUUACGGGUGGCGAGUGGCGGACGGGUGAGGAAUACAUCGGAAUCUACUUUUUCGUGGGGGAUAACGUAGGGAAACUUACGCUAAUACCGCAUACGACCUACGGGUGAAAGCAGGGGAUCUUCGGACCUUGCGCGAUUGAAUGAGCCGAUGUCGGAUUAGCUAGUUGGCGGGGUAAAGGCCCACCAAGGCGACGCUCCGUAGCUGGUCUGAGAGGAUGAUCAGCCACACUGGAACUGAGACACGGUCCAGACUCCUACGGGAGGCAGCAGUGGGGAAUAUUGGACAAUGGGCGCAAGCCUGAUCCAGCCAUACCGCGUGGGUGAAGAAGGCCUUCGGGUUGUAAAGCCCUUUUGUUGGGAGAGAAAAGCAGCAGGUUAAUACCCCGCUGUUCUGACGGUACCCAAAGAAUAAGCACCGGCUAACUUCGUG
rnacentral:rRNA from 1 species